CCUACGGGACGCUGCAGUGGGGAAUAUUGGGCAAUGGGCGCAAGCCUGACCCAGCAACGCCGCGUGAAGGAAGAAGGCUUUCGGGUUGUAAACUUCUUUUCUCAGGGACGAAGAAAGUGACGGUACCUGAGGAAUAAGCCACGGCUAACUACGUGCAAGCAGACGCGGUAAUACGUAGGUGGCAAGCGUUAUCAGGAUUUACUGUGUGUAAAGGGCGUGUAGGCGGGACUGCAAGUCAGAUGUGAAAACCACGGGCUCAACCUGUGGCCUGCAUUUGAAACUGUAGUUCUUGAGUACUGGUGAGGCAGACGGAAUUCCUAGUGUAGCGGUGAAAUGCGUAGAUAUUAGGAGGAACACCAGUGGCGAAGGCGGUCUGCUGGACAGCAACUGACGCUGAGGCGCGAAAGCGUGGGGAGCAAACAGGAUUAGAUACCCUUGUAGUC
rnacentral:rRNA from 1 species